UGGAUCCAGACUUUGAUUCUGGCUCAGGAUGAACGCUAGCGACAGGCUUAACACAUGCAAGUCGAGGGGCAGCAUGAACUUAGCUUGCUAAGUUUGAUGGCGACCGGCGCACGGGUGAGUAACGCGUAUGCAACUUACCUAUCAGAGGAGAAUAGCUCAUCGAAAGAUGAAUUAAUGCUCCAUAAAACAGGGGUCCCGCAUGGGAAUAUUUGUUAAAGAUUCAUCGCUGAUAGAUAGGCAUGCGUUCCAUUAGGCAGUUGGCGGGGUAACGGCCCACCGAACCGACGAUGGAUAGGGGUUCUGAGAGGAAGGUCCCCCACAUUGGUACUGAGACACGGACCAAACUCCUACGGGAGGCAGCAGUGAGGAAUAUUGGUCAAUGGCCGAGAGGCUGAACCAGCCAAGUCGCGUGAAGGAUGAAGGAUCUAUGGUUUGUAAACUUCUUUUAUACGGGAAUAAAGUGGGUCACGUGUGGCUUUUUGUAUGUACCGUAUGAAUAAGCAUCGGCUAACUCCGUGCCAGCAGCCGCGGUAAUACGGAGGAUGCGAGCGUUAUCCGGAUUUAUUGGGUUUAAAGGGUGCGUAGGUGGUCUUUUAAGUCAGCGGUGAAAGUUUGUGGCCCAACCAUAAAAUUGCCGUUGAAACUGGGAGACUUGAGUAUGUCUGAGGUAGGCGGAAUGCGUGGUGUAGCGGUGAAAUGCAUGGAUAUCACGCAGAACUCCGAUUGCGAAGGCAGCUUGCCAAGCCAUAACUGACACUGAAGCACGAAAGCGUGGGUAUCAAACAGGAUUAGAUACCCUGGUAGUCCACGCAGUAAACGAUGAUUACUAGGAGUUUGCGAUAUAAUGUAAGCUCUACAGCGAAAGCGUUAAGUAAUCCACCUGGGGAGUACGCCGGCAACGGUGCAACUCAAAUGAAUUGACGGA
rnacentral:rRNA from 1 species